UACGUAGGUGGCAAGCGUUGUCCGGAAUUAUUGGGCGUAAAGCGCGCGCAGGCGGCCUCUUAAGUCUGAUGUGAAAGCCCCCGGCUCAACCGGGGAGGGCCAUUGGAAACUGGGACGGCUUGAGUAUAGGAGAGAAGAGUGGAAUUCCACGUGUAGCGGUGAAAUGCGUAGAGAUGUGGAGGAACACCAGUGGCGAAGGCGACUCUUUGGCCUAUAACUGACGCUGAGGCGCGAAAGCGUGGGGAGCAAACAGG
rnacentral:rRNA from 1 species